rnacentral:rRNA from 1 species
AUUGAACGCUGGCGGCAGGCCUAACACAUGCAAGUCGAACGGUAACAGGAAGAAGCUUGCUUCUUUGCUGACGAGUGGCGGACGGGUGAGUAAUGUCUGGGAAACUGCCUGAUGGAGGGGGAUAACUACUGGAAACGGUAGCUAAUACCGCAUAACGUCGCAAGACCAAAGAGGGGGACCUUCGGGCCUCUUGCCAUCGGAUGUGCCCAGAUGAGAUUAGCUAGUAGGUGGGGUAACGGCUCACCUAGGCGACGAUCCCUAGCUGGUCUGAGAGGAUGACCAGCCACACUGGAACUGAGACACGGUCCAGACUCCUACGGGAGGCAGCAGUGGGGAAUAUUGCACAAUGGGCGCAAGCCUGAUGCAGCCAUGCCGCGUGUAUGAAGAAGGCCUUCGGGUUGUAAAGUACUUUCAGCGGGGAGGAAGGGAGUAAAGUUAAUACCUUUGCUCAUUGACGUUACCCGCAGAAGAAGCACCGGCUAACUCCGUG